rnacentral:rRNA from 1 species
GACGAGGGACCUAGCGUUGUUCGGAAUCAUUGGGCGUAAAGCGGGUGUAGGUGGUCUGAUAAGUCAGAUGUGAAGGCCCAGGGCUUAACCCUGGAAGUGCAUAUGAUACUGUCAGGCUUGAGUGUGGGAGAGGAUAGCAGAAUUCCUGGUGUAGUGGUGAAAUACGUAGAUAUCAGGAGGAAUACCGGAGGCGAAGGCGGCUAUCUGGCCCAACACUGACACUGGAGAACCCGAAAGCGUGGGGAUCAAACAGGA